CAAGCGGUGGAGCAUGUGGUUCAAUUCGACGCAACGCGAAGAACCUUACCUGGGCUCGAACGGCUUCUCAACGUUCGUGGAAACACGGAUAUCCCGCAAGGGAGUGGAGUCGAGGUGCUGCAUGGCUGUCGUCAGCUCGUGUCGUGAGAUGUUGGGUUAAGUCCCGCAACGAGCGCAACCCUUGCCCUGUUUUGCCAUCAUUAAGUUGGGAACUAUCAGGGGACCGCCAGCGAUAAGUUGGAGGAAGGUGGGGAUGACGUCAAGUCAUCAUGGCCUUUAUGUCCAGGGCUACACACGUGCUACAAUGGACGGUACAAAGCGCUGCUAAGCCGCGAGGUGGAGCUAAUCGCAAAAAACCGUUCUCAGUUCGGAUCGCAGGCUGCAACCCGCCUGCGUGAAGCUGGAAUCGCUAGUAAUGGCAGAUCAGCAUGCUGCCGUGAAUACGUUCCCGGGCCUUGUACACACC
rnacentral:rRNA from 1 species